GAAUCUAAAUUUUGAUGCUAUAUUACUUCUAAUAAUUCAUUGCAGCUUAAUAGGCUUUACAGUUGUACUAUUUGUUUUUCUAUACUGUUUAGUCCUAAAGUUUAGACAGCCUCAAUUGAUCAUAGUACAUGUACAGAAAUCAACUCGUACCCAAACCAUUUCGUUUUAUCAUGCCUGUUGAAAGGACUGAUUAAAAAUUCUUUAAAUAAGAAAAAAAUAUUAAAUCUAAUAAAAUUGAAAUAAAAAACAACAAGAAUUGUGAAUGUUACCGCAGGGAAUAGGUAAAUUUUUAUUUGUCACUUAUUUUCGCGAUGCCGCUUUUUAUUAAAUAAAAAUUGGAAGCUGUGUUUUGUUAAAAUGUGUGUAUAAAACACUAAAAAUGCGUUGAUGAAUGAAAACUACUGAAGGUAUUGUUUACACAACUUGAACGAAGAUAUCUGCCAGUAUGUGUAAGUUAGUUCUACAUAAAAUAGAUCUAUAUAUAUAAGGAAUAUUUUCUAUAAGGGGUUUAUUUUAUUAGUUCUACAUAAAAAUGAUAUAAGCUAGGAAUAUUUCUAAGGGGUAUAUGUAGUAGAGUGAAUAAGGAAGAAAAAACCCAGCUUAAUGGUCUGUUGAUGUAGGGUUUAAGAAAUUAUAUUUCAAAUCUUUCUUGUACAGUACACGGGUUUCCAAUUUUGGUACAUGAAUUACCAUUUUCCUUAAGCCUGUUCAAUAUUCAAACUCUGACACCCCCUCCCCUUUCCCACUCUACUCUGCUUAUUCAUCAUAUAUUAAACUGCAUAAAUGCAGCAAAGACCGGGAAGGUACGGGAAUUAGUCUGUCCGGAAAAGGGGAGGUAAAUAAAAAAAAUGUAAACAGAAGUCUAUUUUUACAGAAUCGGUGUGUAUAGGUUGUAUAAGAUAUAUAGCUACUGUGCAGGAGUAACUGUGAAUUUAAGUGCAGCUGUACAAAGGUUGAGUGAUAUUCGAUGGAGGAUUAUUGUUACACUCUUUUUACUACACAGAGGUUUGCCUACAUAUGCGGUGAAGAUUAACAACAACAACAAUGGCGGUCUGAGGCUGAGCACAGAAUAAUUUUUCUGCCUCUUGAAAGUUGAUGAGUUUUCGAUUUACAAGUGUUUGGAAGGCCAUUAAGUUUGACUAAAUCAGAUUUAACAUUUACUUUCUGGUUACUAUGCUGGUUAUGUUUGGAAGAUAAGAAAGUCACAAAUCAACCUCAAGAUUACUAAAUUGGCCUGUGUUCAAAGCACAUGAAAACAGGCCUGGUGGUUUCUUUGGGCAAGAAAUUUAUUGCUUACAACCAAGCUAAAAGCCAAAGAUAUUGGAGAAUAUGAUGAUAUAAAUGAUGACAUAAAUAAUGACAUAAAUAGUAGCAACAUUGCUGAUACCAAUGAAGUGUCUACCAACAAACUUGAUGAGGUUAAAACCCAUGAAGUUAUCAAUGAAUAUGACGAUAUUGGAGAAUAUGAUGAUAUAAAUGAUGACAUAAAUAAUGCCAUAAAUAGUAGCAACAUAGCUGAUACCAAUGAAGUGUCUACCAACAAACUUGAUGAGGUUAAAACCCAUGAAGCUAUCAAUGAAUAUGAUGGUAUUUGUCUUAUUAGCAUAUAUUCUGUUUUCUUACAGGGCCCAAUAUUUAAACUAGUCGAAAACUACUAGACUUUUAGUUUCACAAUUAAUAUAAAUGCAAGAGUUUAUUUAACAGCUGAAUAUUUAUAAUAAUAGUUAUUGUAUUAUGUAUUAUGAUUGUGCUCACAGUACUUAGGCCAUAGAAAAAAAAUAUGUCUGAUUCUCAUCCCCGUCCGCCCCACUCAGUUAGAUUCCUCUCUGAUAGAUACAUUUUCCCUUCAGCGAACAUGAUGCAUAAACAAAACCAAUCAUUUUUUUUUUAUUUUCAAUGUAUAUAAAGUCCAUCUUAUUUCAAUAAUAAAAGAAAAAUAAAAGUGCCCUGACCCGCAGGGAUCUUAUCUAAAAUUCCAUUGAGAAUCUAAAUGUUUAUCUUCUUUGGCUACAUCAUACUGUGGUCUGACAUUGCACAAGAUAUGUGAAAAUUGUUCUUACACAAAAAAUAAUUAUUCCAAUGUAUUUAAAGAGUUCUCACUUGCUUGUGAUUUAUUACACACUGCUCUCAGUUGCAGGUGAUUUAGUACGUACUGUCCUCAAUUGGUUUUCAAGUGGAACAUUUUUUUUUAAUAACAAAAAAUAUUUUUAACACCUGCAUCAUACAUGUAUUAGCAUACUGUUAAUUCACAGCGAUUAGGCAGAAAAUACUGUUUUCUUUAUAGACUUUGUGUUUUGGUCAUCA